GUUCCUAUAGCUCAGCUGGAUAGAGCGUUCCCCUCCUAAGGGAAAGGCCGGAGGUUCGAAUCCUCUUGGGAACG
rnacentral:tRNA from 1 species